GACGAACGCUGGCGGCGUGCCUAAUACAUGCAAGUCGAGCGCAGGAAACUGACGGAACUCUUCGGAGGGAAGGCAGUGGAAUGAGCGGCGGACGGGUGAGUAACACGUAGGGAACCCGCCUCAAGGAUUGGGAUAACUCCGAGAAAUCGGAGCUAAUACCGGAUAGUUCAUCGGACCGCAUGGUCCGCUGAUGAAAGGCGCUCCGGCGUCACCUUGAGAUGGCCUUGCGGUGCAUUAGCUAGUUGGUGGGGUAAUGGCCCACCAAGGCGACGAUGCAUAGCCGACCUGAGAGGGUGAUCGGCCACACUGGGACUGAGACACGGCCCAGACUCCUACGGGAGGCAGCAGUAGGGAAUCUUCCACAAUGGACGAAAGUCUGAUGGAGCAACGCCGCGUGAGUGAUGAAGGUUUUCGGAUCGUAAAACUCUGUUGUAAGGGAAGAACACGUACGAGAGGGAAUGCUCGUACCUUGACGGUACCUUACGAGAAAGCCACGGCUAACUACGUGCCAGCCGCCGCGGUAA
rnacentral:rRNA from 1 species